AGAGUUUGAUUCUGGCUCAGGAUGAACGCUGGCGGCGUGCCUAACACAUGCAAGUCGAGCGAAGCACUUUAAUUCGAUUCUUCGGAUGAAGAUUUUUGUGACUGAGCGGCGGACGGGUGAGUAACGCGUGGGCAACCUGCCUUACACAGGGGGAUAACAGUUAGAAAUGACUGCUAAUACCGCAUAAGACCGCAGUACCGCAUGGUACAGCGGUAAAAACUCCGGUGGUGUAAGAUGGGCCCGCGUCUGAUUAGGUAGUUGGCGGGGUAACGGCCCACCAAGCCGACGAUCAGUAGCCGACCUGAGAGGGUGACCGGCCACAUUGGGACUGAGACACGGCCCAGACUCCUACGGGAGGCAGCAGUGGGGAAUAUUGCACAAUGGGGGAAACCCUGAUGCAGCGACGCCGCGUGAGCGAUGAAGUAUUUCGGUAUGUAAAGCUCUAUCAGCAGGGAAGAAAAUGACGGUACCUGACUAAGAAACCCCGGCUAACUA
rnacentral:rRNA from 1 species